rnacentral:rRNA from 1 species
ACGGUCCUAAGGUAGCGAAAUUCCUUGUCGGGUAAGUUCCGACCCGCACGAAAGGCGUAACGAUCUGGGCACUGUCUCAACGAGAGACUCGGUGAAAUUAUAAUACCCGUGAAGAUGCGGGUUACCCGCGACAGGACGGAAAGACCCCAUGGAGCUUUACUGUAGCUUGAUAUUGAGUGCUUGUACUGCUUGUACAGGAUAGGUAGGAGCCAUAGAAGCCAGGACGCUAGUUUUGGCAGAGGCGUUGGUGGGAUACUACCCUUGCAUUAUGAUCACUCUAACCCGCACCACUGAUCGUGGUGGGAGACAGUGUCAGGUGGGCAGUUUGACUGGGGCGGUCGCCUCCCAAAAGAUAACGGAGGCGCCCAAAGGUUCGCUCAGAAUGGUUGGAAAUCAUUCGCAGAGUGUAAAGGCACAAGCGAGCUUGACUGCGAGACAGACAGGUCGAGCAGGGACGAAAGUCGGGCUUAGUGAUCCGGUGGUUCCGCAUGGAAGGGCCAUCGCUCAACGGAUAAAAGCUACCCUGGGGAUAACAGGCUUAUCUCCCCCAAGAGUCCACAUCGACGGGGAGGUUUGGCACCUCGAUGUCGGCUCAUCGCAUCCUGGGGCUGUAGUCGGUCCCAAGGGUUGGGCUGUUCGCCCAUUAAAGCGGUACGCGAGCUGGGUUCAGAACGUCGUGAGACAGUUCGGUCCCUAUCCGUCGCGGGCGUAGGAAAUUUGAGAGGAUCUGUCCUUAGUACGAGAGGACCGGGAUGGACAUACCGCUGGUGUACCAGUUGUUCCGCCAGGAGCAUCGCUGGGUAGCUAUGUAUGGAUGAGAUAAACGCUGAAAGCAUCUAAGCGUGAAACUCGCCUCAAGAUGAGAUUUCCCAUUCCUUAUGGAAGUAAGACCCCUCAGAGAUGAUGAGGUAGAUAGGAUGGAAGUGGAAGUGCCGCGAGGCAUGGAGCGGACCAUUACUAAUCGGUCGAGGACUUAACCAA